rnacentral:rRNA from 1 species
AGAGUUUGAUCAUGGCUCAGGACGAACGCGGGCGGCGUGCUUAACACAUGCAAGUCGAACGGAAAGGCCCUUCGGGGUACUCGAGUGGCGAACGGGUGAGUAACACGUGGGUGAUCUGCCCUGCACUUUGGGAUAAGCCUGGGAAACUGGGUCUAAUACCGAAUAGGACCACGCGCUUCAUGGUGCGUGGUGGAAAGCUUUUGCGGUGUGGGAUGGGCCCGCGGCCUAUCAGCUUGUUGGUGGGGUAAUGGCCUACCAAGGCGACGACGGGUAGCCGGCCUGAGAGGGUGACCGGCCACACUGGGACUGAGAUACGGCCCAGACUCCUACGGGAGGCAGCAGUGGGGAAUAUUGCACAAUGGGCGCAAGCCUGAUGCAGCGACGCCGCGUGAGGGAUGACGGCCUUCGGGUUGUAAACCUCUUUCAAUAGGGACGAAGCGCAAGUGACGGUACCUAUAGAAGAAGCACCGGCCAACUACGUGCCAGCAGCCGCGGUAAUACGUAGGGUGCGAGCGUUGUCCGGAAUUACUGGGCGUAAAGAGCUCGUAGGUGGUUUGUCGCGUUGUUCGUGAAAACUCACAGCUUAACUGUGGGCGUGCGGGCGAUACGGGCAGACUAGAGUACUGCAGGGGAGACUGGAAUUCCUGGUGUAGCGGUGGAAUGCGCAGAUAUCAGGAGGAACACCGGUGGCGAAGGCGGGUCUCUAGGCAGUAACUGACGCUGAGGAGCGAAAGCGUGGGGAGCGAACAGGAUUAGAUACCCCGGUAGUCC